rnacentral:rRNA from 1 species
CCCAGACUCCUACGGGAGGCAGCAGUGAGGAAUAUUGGUCAAUGGCCGAGAGGCUGAACCAGCCAAGUCGCGUGAGGGAAGAAUGUCCUAAGGAUUGUAAACCUCUUUUGUCGGGGAGCAAAAAGGCUCUGCGGAGUCGUAUUGAGAGUACCCGAAGAAAAAGCAUCGGCUAACUCCGUGCCAGCAGCCGCGGUAAUACGGAGGAUGCGAGCGUUAUCCGGAUUUAUUGGGUUUAAAGGGUGCGCAGGCGGAGGUGCAAGUCAGCGGUCAAAUUGCGGGGCUCAACCCCGUACUGCCGUUGAAACUGGCAGUCUUGAGUGGGCGAGAAGUAUGCGGAAUGCGUGGUGUAGCGGUGAAAUGCAUAGAUAUCACGCAGAACUCCGAUUGCGAAGGCAGCAUACCGGCGCCCUACUGACGCUGAGGCACGAAAGCGUGGGUAUCGAACAGGAUUAGAUACCCUCGUAUCU